AGUGAACGCUGGCGGUAGGCCUAACACAUGCAAGUCGAACGGCAGCACAGUAAGAGCUUGCUCUUACGGGUGGCGAGUGGCGGACGGGUGAGGAAUACAUCGGAAUCUACUUUUUCGUGGGGGAUAACGUAUGGAAACUUACGCUAAUACCGCAUACGACCUACGGGUGAAAUCAUGGGAUCUUCGUACCUUGCGCGAUUGAAUGAGCCGAUGUCGGAUUAGCUAGUUGGCGGGGUAAAGGCCCACCAAGGCGACGAUCCGUAGCUGGUCUGAGAGGAUGAUCAGCCACACUGGAACUGAGACACGGUCCAGACUCCUACGGGAGGCAGCAGUGGGGAAUAUUGGACAAUGGGCGCAAGCCUGAUCCAGCCAUACCGCGUGGGUGAAGAAGGCCUUCGGGUUGUAAAGCCCUUUUGUUGGGAAAGAAAAGCAGCAGGUUAAUACCCCGCUGUUCUGACGGUACCCAAAGAAUAAGCACCGGCUAACUUCGUG
rnacentral:rRNA from 1 species